UACAGAGGUCUCAAGCGUUGUUCGGAUUCAUUGGGCGUAAAGGGUGCGUAGGCGGCCAACUAAGUCGGACGUGAAAUCCCUCAGCUUAACUGGGGAACUGCGUCCGAUACUGGAUGGCUUGGAUUUGGGAGAGGGAUGCGGAAUUCCAGGUGUAGCGGUGAAAUGCGUAGAUAUCGGAAGGAACACCUGUGGCGAAAGCGAUGCACUGGACCUCUUCUGACGCUGAGGCGCGAAAGCCAGGGGAGCGAACGGG
rnacentral:rRNA from 1 species